rnacentral:rRNA from 1 species
CCUACGGGAGGCAGCAGUGGGGGAUAUUGCGCAAUGGGGGGAACCCUGAUGCAGCGACGCCGCGUGGGUGAAGGAGUGCUUCGGCAUGUAAAGCCCUAUCGGCAGGGAAGAAGCAAGACGGUACCUGACUAAGAAGCCCCGGCUAACUCCGUGCCAGCAGCCGCGGUAAUAUGGAGGGGGCGAGCGUUAUUCGGAUUCACUGGGUGUAAAGGGAGCGUAGACGGCCAUGCAAGCCAGAGGUGAAAGCCCGGGGCCCAACCCGGGGACAGCCCUUGGGACUGGAUGGCUGGAGUGCGGGAGGGGAAGGUGGAAUUCCUGGUGUAGCGGUGAAAUGCGUAGAUAUCAGGAGGAACACCAGCGGCGAAGGCGGCUUGCUGG